rnacentral:rRNA from 1 species
ACUGAAUAGAUACCCGGGUAGUCCACGCCGUAAACGAUGAGUGCUAGAUGUCAGGAGCUUUGACCCUCUUGGCGUCGUAGCUAACGCAAUAAGCACUCCGCCUGGGGAGUACGGCCGCAAGGCUAAAACUCAAAGGAAUUGACGGGGCCCGCACAAGCGGUGGAGCAUGUGGUUUAAUUCGACGCAACGCGCAGAACCUUACCUGGGCUAGAAAGCGCAAGAACCUCGGUGAAAACUGAGGGUGCCUCGGGUAACGUGUGAUUAGGUGCUGCAUGGCGUGUCGUCAGCUCGUGUCGUGAGAUGUUGGGUUAAGUACCCGCAACGAGCGCAACCCUUCGCUGUUAGUUACCUAUCAUUAAGUUAGGGUCGACUCUAACAGGACUGCCGACCUUAAGUCGGAGGAAGGUGGGGAUGACGUCAAGUCCUCAUGGCCCGUUA